rnacentral:lncRNA from 1 species
UGGUUAGACGAGCCACAUUUUCAGUCAGUGAAGUGGUGAGGAUGCUGACAAUCUGUUGGUCUGUGGUAAACCAAGCUUCAUACUCGGGAUUGGGAAUGGUUUUGGGAGGGCUGCCUUCUGUGAUGGUGGGAGAGGGUUGAGUAAUCAAACCAUCAACAUAACCCCAAAGCUUGGCACCAUGAAGAUAGGGCUUGAGCUGACGAAGCCAGACAAGAUAGUUGGAUUCGGUGAGUUUGGUAAAUUGGGCAGUGUUUUGGGAAGGAGGGUUGGAAGAGGAGGAAGCCAUGAGAGAGGAAAUAUGGAGACCUGGAGACGAGGAGGAAAAACACAGGUGCUGAAGGAAAGAGGAAUCUGUAAACCAGCUGUAGACAAAUCAUUCAAUGGAGAUUGAUUGGUGGAGGAGAUGGAUUGUCUCUAACAGGUGCUUUAGCUGAAGGAGACAAGAUCACCUUAGAAACUGCAAAGCUGUUGAGAGAGAAUUCUCUCGCGCAGGAUGCAUUUACUCCGGUGGACAGAUAUGAGAAAUUCUGCCCUUUCUAGUCUGUUUGGAUGAUGCAGAAUAUCAUCCAUUUCUUUAAUUUAGCAAAUCAGGUGAACUAUUCUGUUCAAAUCCUUUCUUAUAUGACCUACCAUUAUGUUUGAAGAAUUCAUGUCUAUUUAGGUUGAAGCAUUUUAGGGCAAGGAAAACAGAUAAUAAUAUUGUCUUUCCCGGUCUUCUUUCUGGGAACCAAUCCCAGAAAGGUGCAACUUCAUUAGAUGUGACCCAAAGGAUUUCCUUGCCAUAAUACCGAAAAGGUGGCCGUUGUGACACAAUUUAUCAUUCUGAAGACCCAGUGCGGAUGAAAUCCAAGUCUGAACAUUAUAGCCUCCAAGAAACACCACUCAACCCUAUCAUAAACCUUGGCCAUGUCAACUUUAUUAGAUGUUUAAUUAGAUAAGUGAACGUAUCAAUGUCUACAGGCUAUAGAGAGAGCAGCUGAUAUGAAUGAUCAAAAGAUCAAUUAUAGUAUAAUUGAGCACCGUAUGGGAGAUCUCUUUUACCGUCUAAUGUCUAAAAAUUUGAGGAACCUGCUGAAGGCGAACUAGCUCUUGUGGCAAAAUUUAAGAAGCUACACGAUUACUUGACGAUUUGAGGAUGUAACUCGAUAAUUGGACUUAGACAUUUUCUAGAUGGUUCUAGUUGCUGUUAUAAAUUGCAUGGUGAUGACAAUUGGAGUUACUGUGGUUUUUGUUGUGCAUGAAAAAAGGCAGUGUUAGGUUUUUGUGACGCCAUUUUUGCUUUACUUAUGUGGCGGUUGCUCUAGUUUGGAUGUGUAGUUUCAAUGAUUGUAUUCAUGUCACUCCCUUCAAGUUUUUACCCAGAAUAAG